ACACAUGCAAGUCGAGGGGAAACGACAUCGAAAGCUUGCUUUUGAUGGGCGUCGACCGGCGCACGGGUGAGUAACGCGUAUCCAACCUGCCCACCACUUGGGGAUAACCUUGCGAAAGUAAGACUAAUACCCAAUGACGUCUCUAGAAGACAUCUGAAAGGGAUUAAAGAUUUAUCGGUGAUGGAUGGGGAUGCGUCUGAUUAGCUUGUUGGCGGGGUAACGGCCCACCAAGGCUACGAUCAGUAGGGGUUCUGAGAGGAAGGUCCCCCACAUUGGAACUGAGACACGGUCCAAACUCCUACGGGAGGCAGCAGUGAGGAAUAUUGGUCAAUGGACGAGAGUCUGAACCAGCCAAGUAGCGUGCAGGAUGACGGCCCUAUGGGUUGUAAACUGCUUUUAUAAGGGAAUAAAGUGAGUCUCGUGAGACUUUUUGCAUGUACCUUAUGAAUAAGGACCGGCUAAUUCCGUGCCAGCAGCCGCGGUAAUACGGAAGGUCCGGGCGUUAUCCGGAUUUAUUGGGUUUAAAGGGAGCGUAGGCCGGAGAUUAAGCGUGUUGCGAAAUGUAGAUGCUCAACAUCUGCACUGCAGCGCGAACUGGUUUCCUUGAGUACGCACAAAGUGGGCGGAAUUCGUGGUGUAGCGGUGAAAUGCUUAGAUAUCACGAAGAACUCCGAUUGCGAAGGCAGCUCACUGGAGCGCAACUGACGCUGAAGCUCGAAAGUGCGGGUAUCGAACAGGAUUAGAUACCCUGGUAGUCCGCACGGUAAACGAUGGAUGCCCGCUGUUGGUCUGAAUAGGUCAGCGGCCAAGCGAAAGCAUUAAGCAUCCCACCUGGGGAGUACGCCGGCAACGGUGAAACUCAAAGGAAUUGACGGG
rnacentral:rRNA from 1 species